AGCUUUGCGCAGUGGCGGUAUCGUAGCCAAUGAGGUUUAUUAGAGGAGCGAUUACUGCUAAUUGAAAACCUUGCUUCCUUUCUAUAACC
ensembl:snRNA U4 U4 spliceosomal RNA